GGACUCUUCCAUCUCCGGCUGGCCUGCAGCAGACUCAUCUUCCAGCUCACCUAUAGCUCAUCAUCCUAUCCACUAGCAACAAUUAGGAUUGCUAGCUCUUAGCUCUGUAGCCAGAGCCUGCAACUACUGGUAUACCCUGAAAGUGAGGACUGAACUUGCUCCAUAGACUUCAAACUCACAGAGCAGUGGGAGAGAUGAACGAGGAUGGGACCUCUACACACACAUUCAACAAGAAAUAGUCUAAUGAUGUCGCUCCUUUCCCCCAACCCUGACUGUACAUCAAUGUCUGCCUGCAGACACCUGAGCAGACACAGGUGAGACCUGAGACCUCAAAAGCAAACAUUCACAGAAAGUAUAUGAUGGGCCAAACCUGGAAACUGGAGGAGAGACAGGAGCAUGUUGUUCUCUGAGAGGCUCCACCCAGCAGCUGACUCAAACAGAUACAGAUACCCACAGCCAAACAGUGGAUGGAGCUUGUGGACUCUUAAGAAGAAUAGGAGGAAGGAUUUCAGGGCCCAAAGGGGAUAGGAACUCCACAAGAAGACUAACAGAGUCAACUCACCUGGACCCUUGGGUCUCUCAGAGUCUGAACCAUCAACCAAAGAACAUAGACAGGCUGCACCUAGGCCUCCCAGAUGUGUAGCAGAUGUGCAGCUUGGUCUUCAUGUGAGUCCUAAAAAAUCUGGAGUAUUAGCUAUCCCAAAAGUUGUUGCUAGUAAGUGAGAUAUGUUCUACUAGCUAAGCUGCCUUGUCUGGCCUCAAAGAGACUUGCAGUGCCAGGGUAGGGGGCAUACACAGGCUCUCCCUCCACUCUGAGAAGAAGGGGAGGGGGAGGGAUUAUGGGAGGAGUUAACUGAAAGGAGGAGCAGUGAACAGGGUGUAAAGUGAGUACGUAAAAAACAGUAAAAUUGAAUAAAAGAUUCCAGUGUAGCUUUCAUCAAUACUCAGCUGGAUCUCCUCAGAAUCUAUGAAGCUGAGAGUCAACCUCUGUGCAGGAUGAAAGUCACCACACAGCCUCUGGAUAAUUUUCAGUUGGCAUAUUGUAUACACUUUUUUAGCUGAUUUCACAUUAUCUAACAACACUCCACAUAGCCCUUGAACAUCAUAAUAUCUAGUUUGCCAGCUAAAUGAUAUAUAGUUCCUAUUGGCCACAGGCUUAUCAUUAUGUGUGAGUUUCUAGAUCAUUCUUUGAGGCCCUAAUGGAUAGUGCCUGAAAACCUAUCACCCACUUCUGGCAUAAUAUUCACAGCAUUUCAUGCAAAGCCUUUGAUCUGUGAUAAAAAAUAAAGUCCAUAGCAGGAUAAUCCUGUAAUGUGUUGGCCACUA
rnacentral:lncRNA from 1 species